rnacentral:rRNA from 1 species
UGCGUAGGUGGCGGGGUAAGUUUGAUGUGAAAGCUCCGAGCUUAACUCGGAAAUGGCAUUGAAUACUAUCUUGCUCGAGGUUUGGAGGGGGGACUGGAAUUCUCGGUGUAGCAGUGAAAUGCGUAGAUAUCGAGAGGAACACCAGUGGCGAAGGCGAGUCCCUGGACAACACCUGACACUAAGGCACGAAAGCUAGGGGAGCAAACA